GCGGAUGUGGUGAAAUUGGCAGACACGCUAGAUUUAGGUUCUAGUGCUUUAGGGCGUGGGGGUUCAAGUCCCUUCAUCCGCA
rfam:Lactococcus garvieae Lg2 DNA, complete genome.